GGGACUUCUGUAUGAGCUUUCCUAACGUUCGGUUGUGUGACAGUUCAGUGUGGAAGUGAUAAUUCAAAAAAAACGCAGGCGGCAAAAACAAAAUAGGAACUACAUAAUAGAGAAAAACAAGAAGAAGGACAAGGACCACAUAGGACCAAAAAAAAAAUAGAUCUGAAGUUGACAGGACACCUGGUUGUGCAUUGCCUUGAGCAAGACGCGCAUAACCAAUAACAUGUACUGGGUAAAUGAUUAAAAAAAAAUCGAAACCCAAAAAAAAAG
rnacentral:lncRNA from 1 species